GUGAUACCUUCAUCCAAGUGUGUGGCGUGUGUGGCACCUGUUUGGAUAAAGCAAUAGCAUAAGAAACAUUAUGCCGGUUCAUUGAAAAAAACCAUGAGACCGUUCCAAUGCCGGUUCUGUAGCUCAAAUCAAACUCAAGAGUAGAAAUUGUCAGCUGACCAAAUAUGAAUCAUGGGCGAUAUGGUCCAUAUGGAUUAGUCGACAAGGUGGCGAUAUAUCAAAAGAAACAUUUGAUAGCAUUUUGAAUGAGUGAACCGAACAUAAGAAAUUGUCUCGUGUUUUGGAGGGCUUACAGUGAAGUGGUUUGUUACAUUGAAUUUUGAGUAUAAUAAGGAUCCAUAAUGCUUUUUGCACAUUUUCAUAGUCACAUCAUACAUUCUGGA